UGACCUGCCCACUGAUAAUAUAAAUUUAAUGGCCGCGGUAUUAAUGACCGUGCAAAGGUAGCAUAAUCAUUAGUCUUUUAAUUAAAGGCUUGUAUGAAUGGUUGGACAAAAGAAAAGCUGUCUUCUUUAAUAUAAAUUGAAUUUAACUUUUAGGUGAAAAGGCUUAAAUAUUUCAGAGGGACGAUAAGACCCUAUAAAGCUUUAUAUAAAAUAAAUUUUAGAUUGAAGUUUUUUUAAAGAUUAAAAUUUAUACUUAUAUUUUGUUGGGGCAACAGAAGUAUAAUUAUUAAUAACUGCUUAAUUUAUAAACAGGUAUAUUUGUGUUAUUAAGUGAUCCUUAUUAGAGAUUUCAAGAUUAAGUUACUUUAGGGAUAACAGCGUAAUUUUUUUAGAGAGUUCAUAUCGAAAAAAAAGUUUACGACCUCGAUGUUGAAUUAAAAUUUCUAUAUAGUGCAGCUAUUAUAUAAGAGGGUCUGUUCGACCUUUAAUUUUUUACAUGAUUUGAGUUCAGACCGGCGUGAGCC
rnacentral:rRNA from 3 species